CAGUCAUUUUCCAUGACUGUUUGAUUCUUACCGGGGAAAAGGGUGCUAUUCUGGAGAAAAGAGUUACAGAUCUCAUGCUGGAAGAAUUCCUUUCAUAUGGGCCACAAGAUGAUCCUGGAAAGAUGGGUAAGCCUCUAUUUAGGAGGACUGUAGAUGGGGAAAUAUUGGAGUGGAAAGUUGAAAACGAUGCGCCACUAUGCACGCUGCAAGAAGCUUUUGAGAAGGUUGAGCAUUCAGUUGGUUUUAAUAUAGAGUUGAAGUUUGAUGAUCUGGGUUGGAGCAUUAGAGCAAGUUGCUCCUCUUUGUAGAUUAUCAGAUCAUCAAACUUCA
rnacentral:misc_RNA from 1 species